rnacentral:rRNA from 1 species
GACGAACGCUGGCGGCGUGCUUAACACAUGCAAGUCGAACGGAAAGGCCCUGCUUUUGUGGGGUGCUCGAGUGGCGAACGGGUGAGUAACACGUGAGUAACCUGCCCUUGACUUUGGGAUAACUUCAGGAAACUGGGGCUAAUACCGGAUAGGAGCUCCUGCUGCAUGGUGGGGGUUGGAAAGCUUCGGCGGUUGGGGAUGGACUCGCGGCUUAUCAGCUUGUUGGUGGGGUAGUGGCUUACCAAGGCGUUGACGGGUAGCCGGCCUGGGAGGGUGACCGGCGACAUUGGGACUGAGAUACGGCCCAGACUCCUACGGGAGGCAGCAGUGGGGAAUAUUGCACAAUGGGCGGAAGCCUGAUGCAGCAACGCCGCGUGCGGGAUGACGGCCUUCGGGUUGUAAACCGCUUUCGCCUGUGACGAAGCGUGAGUGACGGUAAUGGGUAAAGAAGCACCGGCUAACUACGUG